UUAUUUUAAAGUAUUUGGUUGGGGCGACAAAAAUAGAAGAGAAAGUAACUGUUUUUUUUUUUUACAAUAAUGUUUGGGUUAGUGAUCCUAAAAUGGAUUAAAGAUUAAGUUACUUUAGGGAUAACAGCGUAAUUUUCUUUAAGAGUUCUUAUCGAUAAGAAAGUUUGCGACCUCGAUGUUGAAUUAAAGGUUCUUUAUGGAGUAGAGACUAUAAAAGAAGGUCUGUUCGACCUUUAAA
rnacentral:rRNA from 1 species